rnacentral:tRNA from 1 species
GCGCGGUUAGCUCAAUUGGUAGAGCGCGUCAUUGACGUUGACGAUGUUGCAGGUUCAAGUCCUGCACCGCGCA